rnacentral:rRNA from 1 species
GAUGAACGCUGGCGGCGUGCCUAAUACAUGCAAGUCGAGCGAACAGGCGCGGCGCUUGGGGUGCUGGCGUUGGGGACGGGCGGGUAAGACACGCGUAGAUAACCUACUUAUUUGGCUUGAAGAACUUAGAGGGGCGCGAGCAAAUGCCGGUCACUAUAUUGAGCCGGGUGGUUGGAGGGAGGAAUUCGGUUGUGGGGUGAUUUAUAGAUGGACUCGCGCCGCGUUAGCUAGUUGGUGAGGUACCGGCUUACCAAGGCAACGAUGCGUAGCCGACCUGAGAGGGUGAUCGGCCACACGGGAACUGAGACACGGUCCAGACUCCUACGGGAGUCAGCAGUAGGGAAGCUGCCGCAAUUGGCGAAAGCGUGACGGAGCAACGCCGCGUGAGUGAUGAAGGUCUUCGGAUCGUAAAACUCUGUUAUUAGGGAAGAACAAAUGUGUAAGUAACUUUGCACGUCUUGACGGUACCGGAUCAGAAAGCCACGGCUAACUACGUG